GUGCUAUCCCAGAGGCUGAUGGUUUCUGUCUCCAGGUGUGCCCAGGACACUGCUAAUGCCCAGGGAUCUGCUCUGGGUCCAGGCUGUCCGUGCUGGAGGGCCCUGGUGGCUGCAGUCCCUGAGCCCGCAGAGACAGAGAGAGCCCCGGCCCGAGUGGCCUUUGGCCCCUUGUCCUGAAUUUGGGGUGAGCCUGGGAGCAUGUGGAAGGUGAGAAUGAGGGCUGUGCUUCCAAUGCAUCAUCCCUGGGAAGAUCCUGUUGUUCCAGAGCACUGGGGACAGUUUGGGCUUGGCAGCUUCAGAGCUGGGUUGGAGCAGCCCCUGGAAAGAAUCAGGAGAGUGGAGAUGCUGGAAUUGCCUCUCUGGGUGUGUGCUGAGCUCUGGCUGCAGGGGACUGUCAGGGCUUGGUGGCUGUGAGUUCCUGUUUUUCUCCCUGGGAAACUGGAAAGAGUUAUUCCUUGGAUUGCAGAAAUGUUUUCUGAAACCUGUCCCCUUCUUUCUGCCUUUUGCUGACAGAUGUUCUCCUUCUGCCUUUGAAUUUACAGCCUCCUUGCAGCUCCCAGCUGGGAAAACCUGGGAGAACUUAGGAGGGACAGAGGUGACAUUUUUAUCUGCACACUUGGGGUAAUUUCUAGGGGAUACAGCAACUGUUUGUGUAGGAAAGUGUGUUUAACCACAUUGGCCCCAGUUGUGUUUGCACCAUCUGGGGCCAGAGGUGCAAGGCAAUCCAAAGCAAACCCUGCUCAGCCUCCAAAUCCCAGGGGAAGUUCUCCAAGCUGCUCCUUGAGGGACUAAAGAUACAUUGAAAUGGAA